rnacentral:rRNA from 1 species
AAUCAACGCUGGCGGCGUGCCUCAGACAUGCAAGUCGAACGAUUAAAGCUCUCUUCGGAGAGUGUAUAGAGUGGCGCACGGGUGAGUAACACGUAAGUAAUCUACCUUCGAGUGGGGAAUAACGUUCGGAAACGAACGCUAGUACCGCAUAAUGCAGCGGCAUCGCAAGAUGACAGUUGUUAAAGGAAUUUAUUUCGCUUGAAGAGGAGCUUGCGGCAGAUUAGCUAGUUGGUAAGGUAACGGCUUACCAAGGCUACGAUCUGUAUCCGGUCUAAGAGGACGGUCGGACACACUGACACUGAAUAACGGGUCAGACUCCUACGGGAGGCAGCAGUCGGGAAUUUUGGGCAAUGGGCGAAAGCCUGACCCAGCAACGCCGCGUGAAGGAUGAAGUAUUUCGGUAUGUAAACUUCGAAAGAAUGGGAAGAAUAAAUGACGGUACCAUUUAUAAGCUCCGGCUAACUACGUGCCAGCCGCCGCGGUAAAAC